rnacentral:snoRNA from 1 species
AUGAUUAUACUCUUUAGGAUCAUUUUUAUAGUGACCUAACCGAGUCCACACAUCCACAUGUGCCACACCUUUAACUUCAUUCGAUGACACAGUUCACGCCGCCCUUACACCGAGACCCUCUGCUGCAUCCCUUUGCAGUUCGAUGACGUGCGCCCACGAGCGAAACCAGUCGCUUGCGGCUCGGUUUUGCGAGUGGGCGGGGCGGGUGUGACUCUUCUGAUGAAG